GCGUACACAGAAGACAUGCUGAACUAAACAGCAAAGCACCUUGGGUGCUGUGGAGCUCAAUCGCUUCAUGUCAAAUGCCAGGGAUGCCAGGUGCCCAAAGAAUGUGGAUCGGCCCAGCAUUUUGUUCCACCCCAGAACCAGGCUUCUGGUAUUGAAGAGUGAUAUCCUUCUGUUGGAAGCAGUUCAGUUUCUAUUUAUGGGAGGCAGUGUUCUCAAAGUGUAGAUCUCCAGGACACCUGCAUUAGAAUCCUGGAGGGCUUGUAAAAAUGCAAAUGUCUGACUCCCAGGAAUU
rnacentral:lncRNA from 1 species